rnacentral:misc_RNA from 1 species
CAACCCUCAAGCCCCAGCGGCUUGGUGUUGGGGACCGGCGACCUCGCUGAAAGCCCUCCGGGGCCCAGCGUCCGCCGCCCCCGAAAUGAAUUGGCGGCCUCGUCGCGGCCUCCCCUGCGUAGUAGCACAACCUCGCAACGGGAGCGCGACGCGGCCACUGCCGUAAAACGCCCAACUUUUUUAG